UUGUGAUCACUAUUUCCCAAAUGCUCCCCUACUUGAAUGUUGGUCAAAAGAUCAACAUCGGAAGAGGAGAGGAUGGGGUAGCACUAUAUAACAGAGGAAUGAAGGUACACCUAAAAGGGACAUUCUCUCCAAAAACCCUUAAGACAAUUGUUACCUUCCUAAAAGAUCAACAUUGUUUCUUAUAACCAGAUUCAGACAAGCACACUCC